UAUAAAGUCUUUGGUCCAUACAUGGGAAAGAGCCCUUUACCUCCAACACAUCAGACAAGCAUAGAACCAUUGAGGAGGUUAUAAAGUCUUUGGUCCAUACAUGAGAAAGAGCCCUUUACCUCCAACACAUCAGGCAAGCAUAGAACCAUUGAGGAGGUUAUAAAGUCUUUGGUCCAUACAUGGGAAAGAGCCCUUUACCUCCAACACAUCAGACAAGCAUAGAACCAUUGAGGAGGUUAUAAAGUCUUUAGUCCAUACAUGGGAAAGAGCCCUUUACCUCCAACACAUCAGACAAGCAUAGAAUCAUUGAGGAGUUUAUAAAGUCUUUAGUCCAUACAUGGGAAAGAGCCCUUUACCUCCAACACAUCAGACAAGCAUAGAAUCAUUGAGGAGGUUAUAAAGUCUUUGGUCCAUACAUGGGAACGAGCCCUUUACCUCCAACACAUCAGUCAAGCAUAGAAUCAUUGAGGAGGUUAUAAUUGGAAGUGAAAAGUAUUCUUUUUAAAAUAUUCAUAUUCAUUUUUAUGAUUUUAUAUUUGUUUUUUGAAAAUGAACUGUUACUCAUUAUUUUGUUCAAUUCCUAGUAGUAACAGAAAACAUAUAAAUUUUUAAAUUUGGUUUAAAAAUAUUUUUGUUUGAAAAGUUAAUCAAAAUAUUUAAUUGAAAAGUAUGUCUCCAUGCAAAAUUAUCCAUCCCUCUACAGGUGGUAUCUUAAUAUAAAAAUCUUAUUCUUAAAGUAUCAACACUAACCAUCACUAACAAUUGGUACUUAAUUAAAUAGGUUGAAAGGAUGGAAGACGAGAGAGGGAGAGAAAUGAGGGGGAGAGGGGAGGGGAAAGGGGGGAGAGAGAAUAGAGACUGAUGGAGUGAGUUUUCAGAUAAGGGUUUAAGGUACUAGUCUAGUAGAGGGAUAGGUCUUCUUUAAAAAUUAAUGUAUUCAGUCAAAAAAGAGAACUUCUUGUUAACAAUAUGAAUAUGAGUAGGGAUACAAACCAAUUUUUAUUUUUGGUAUGCAAAUCCAGUCUGAAAGUCCUUGUUUUAAAAUAAUGGGUCUAUUACAUUUCUUAAUUAUUUCCAAGUCUAAAUUUUUGUGACCCCAGUGGCUAAUCCAGGGGUUAGGGUUGGAAUCCCCCCCUUUUUUUUAAUGAUAAAGCAUUUGAAUGUAUAUAUAUUUAAAACCUCCACUUUCUCCUGGGUUGGAUCCCCCUUUUUUUAAACAUUGCUGGUUCCUCUCCUGAACCUUUCUCCCUCCCUAUUUGGUAAAGACAUAUAAGAUUGUGUCCAUAGUACAUGGAUGCCCCAUCCAUACUAUCAUUUUCAAUGUUCAGUAGACUUUGAAAAUGGAGUAAAAAACUCUUUAUUUGGCAUUGAAAUUAAAAAGAUGAUAUCCUAGGGAACAUGUGUACUAAGUUUCAAGUUGAUUGGACUUUAUCAAAAACUACCUCAACCAAAAACUUUAACCUGAAGCGGGACAGACAAACAAUCAGACGCUCAGACCAGAAAACAUAAUGCCCAUAAAUGAGGCAUAAUAAAUGUUUGCCUUGGAAAACUCCCUUUAAUAAUUUGUAUAACAACAGCCAGUCUAGCCUGUCAUAAUUCAGUAACUACCAAGUUAUUUAUCUUUUCUGGAAAGAUAUGACUGUUUUAACACCACUUGUAGUACUCCUACCUAUUACAAGGCUGCCAGUUUUUAUUGGUGGCAGAAGCCAUAUAAAUGGAACCUGAAAAACCACCGACCUUCAGUGUCUUUAAAUGUUGUCCAAAGUUUCUGUUAAAAUGUUUGUACUGGUUUAAGGUAUUGCUGAUUAAAAGUGUUGACGUCUGAUUAAACAAAAAAGCAUCCUUUACCAAAUUGUCCUAUUCAGGGGGAGAUAAACAUAUUGAAAUAAAUCAAGGGGAGAUAAACUUAUUGAAAUAAAUCCUUUACAACAGCUUUGGAUCAAUACCUUAUAAAUGGGUACUCGGAUAAUAUUUUGGGAAAGAUUUUCAGAAAAGCAAUUUAAAAAUCUGUUAAAGGUAUAUUCUCAAUUUAUAAAAUAAUUGGUCCAGUGAUCAAUGAAGAAUGUAAAGAUGAUCAUGAUGUGAUAAGAAUGCCAAUGAGAUGUGGUUAAUAUGCCAAUGAGAUGUGGUUAAUAUGCCAAUGAGAUGUGGUUAAUAUGCCAAUGAGAUGUGGUAAUAAAGCUAAUGAUAUGUGCUAAGAAUGCCAAUGUGAUGUGCUAAGAAUGCCAAUGAGAUGUGGUCAAUAUGCCAAUGAGAUGUGGUAAUAAAGCUAAUGAAAUGUGCUAAGAAUGCCAAUGAGAUGUGGUAAUAAAGCUAAUGAAAUGUGCUAAGAAUGCCAAUGAGAUGUGGUUAAUAUGCCAAUGAGAUGUGGUUAAUAUGCCAAUGAGAUGUGAUCAAUAUGCCAAUGAGAUGUGGUAAUAAAGCUAAUGAGAUGUGCUAAGAAUGCCAAUGAGAUGUGCUAAGAAUGCCAAUGAGAUGUGCAAAAAAUGCCAAGGAGAUGUGCUUAGAAUGGCAAUAAGAUGUGUUAAUCCAACUAAUGAGAUGCGCUUAGAAUGCAAAUGAGAUGUGGUAUAAAGCUAAUGAGAUGUGCUUAGAAAGCCAAUGAGAUGUGGUAAUAAAGCUAACGAGAUGCACUAAGAAUGCAAAUGAGUUGUGGUAAUAAAGCUAAUGAGAUGCACUUAUAAGAAUGUAAAUGAGAUGUGGUAAUAAAGCUAAUGAGAUGCACUUAUAAGAAUGUAAAUGAGAUGUGGUAAUAAAGCUAAUGAGUUGUACUAAGAAUGCAAAUGAGAUGUGGUAGUAAAGCUAAUGAGAUGUGUUUAGAAAGCCAAUGAGAUGUGGUAAUAAAGCUAAUGAGAUGUGACAAUAAAGUUAAUGGGAUGCACUAAGAAUGCAAAUGAGUUGUGGUAUUAAAGCUAAUGAGAUGUGGUAGUAAAGCUAAUGAGAUGCACUUAUAAGAAUGCACAUGAGAUGUGGUAAUAAAGCUAAUGAGUUGCACUAAGAAUGCCAACGAGAUGUGGUAGUAAAUCUAAUGAUAUAUGCUUAGAAUGCCAUGAGAUUUGGUAAUAAAGCUAAUGAGAUGUGGUAAUAAAGCUAAUGAGAUGUGCUAAGAAUGACAAUGAGAUAUGCUAAAAAUGCCAAUGAGAUGUGCUUAGAAUGCCAAUAAGAUUUGUUAAUACAACUAAUGAGAUGCGCUAAGAAUGCAAAUGAGAUAUGGUAUAAAGCUAAUGAGAUGUGGUUAGAAAGCCAAUGAGAUGUGGUAAUAAAGCUAAUGAGAUGUGACAAUAAAGUUAAUGAGAUGCACUAAGAAUGCAAAUGAGUUUUGGUAAUAAAGCUAAUGAGAUGUGGUAGUAAAACUAAUGAGAUGUGGUAGUAAAGCUAAUGAGAUGCACUUAUAAGAAUGCACAUGAGAUUUGGUAAUAAAGCUGAUGAGUUGCACUAAGAAUGCCAAUGAGAUGUGGUAGUAAAUCUAAUGAGAUGUGCUUAGAAAGCCAAUGAGAUGUGGUAAUAAAGCUAAUGAGAUGUGACAAUAAAGUUAAUGAGAUGCACUAAGAAUGCAAAUGAGUUGUGGUAAUAAAGCUAAUUAGAUGUGGUAGUAAAACUAAUGAGAUGUGGUAGUAAAGCUAAUGAGAUGCACUUAUAAGAAUGCACAUGAGAUGUGGUAAUAAAGCUAAUGAGUUGCACUAAGAAUGCCAAUGAGAUGUGGUAGUAAAUCUAAUAAGAUAUGCUUAGAAUGCCAAUGAGAUUUGGUAAUAAAGCUAAUGAGAUGUGCUAAGAAUGCCAAUGAGAUAUGCUAAAAAUGCCAAUGAGAUGUGCUUAAAAUGCCAAUAAGAUUUGUUAAUACAACUAAUGAGAUGCCCUAAGAAUGCAAAUGAGAUAUGGUAUAAAGCUAAUGAGAUGUGCUUAGAAAGCCAAUGAAAUGUGGUAAUAAAGUUAAUGAGAUAUUGUAAUAAAGCUAAUGAGAUGUGGUAAUAAAGCUAAUGAGAUGUGGUAAUAAAGCUAAUAAGAUGUUGCAAUAAUGCUAAUGAGAUGUGGCAAUAAAGUUAAUGAGAUGUGCUACGAAUGCACAUGAGAUGUGGUAGUAACACGAAUGAGAUGCAUAGUAUUCAAAUGAGAUGUGGUAAUGAAGCUAAUGAGUUGCACUAAGAAUGCAAAUGAGAUGUGGUAAUAAAGCUAAUGAGAUGUGCUAAGAAUGCACAUGAGAUGUGGUAGAAAGGCUAAUGAGAUUUGGUAAUAAAGCUAAAUAGAUGUGGUAAUAGUGCCAAUGAGAUGUGCUAAAAAUGCCAAUGAGUGGUGAUAUGUAUGCAAAUUCAAUUUGGUAAGAAUGCCAAUGAGAUGUGGUAAUAAAGCUAAAGAGAUGUAGUAAGAAUGCCAAUGAGAACUAUCCACCACAGAUAAAACCACAAGGCUGUAAGAGUUAUUUUUCUUUCAUGUGAAUUUAAUGUAUACUUUGUAAACCUUGUAAGCUCCCCUACAGCUGAUAGUUAAACAUUUUCAUCAUUUUAUGAUUAAAGUUACCCUUUCUUUUAAUAAAAUUAUUUUAUGAAUAAACUUUUAUAAAUAAGCAAGAUGAAAAAGCUUGCUAUAAAUCUCAAAUUUAAAAUUUUCUGAAAAAAAACCCUUAAAUAACCACUUGAUUUUUUUGCCAAUUUAAAAAAAAAGAUAUACCAGUAAUGACACGAGGAUAGAUGUGUGGAAUCAAAUAGGUAACAACUAUAGUGAUAAUAAAAUGUUAUAAUAAUAAUCAGUUUUAAAUGUAUUGACUUAAUGGACUUAUUGUGUGAUGUUAUAUGUGACCAGUCAGAAUAGUGGACAAUGAAAUAUUCAAAUGAUGAAACUGACUUUAAGUGAAUAGACUAAUUCAGGAUUGAACAGCCUUGGAAUUGGACCGACAAGUAAAUAUUGACACCAGCCUUGGAACCAGCAAGUGAAUUAUUGACAUUUAUAUUGAUGUGACCAGUAUUCAUGUAGAUGGACAGUACUAGUGGACUAUAAACUGAUAAAUCUCACAGAAAGGCACAUUACAACUGGGUCUGAAGCUGUUACAUGCAAAAGACGAGAUAUCUAGAAAAUUUUGAAGAAUUGUAUGUGAUCUAUAACAAGAUCUGAGGACAGUAGGACCUGGAAGUACUAUAUUACCAUUUUCAAGUAGAUUAACUGCUUGGGAAUUUACAAAUCAACUGAUAAAGAAGAAGACUAAUUUUGCCAUUAUGAUGAACUUGGAAACAAUUAUUGACAAACAAUAUAGUGUAUUAUUAUUCUUGUUAAAAUCAACAGAGAGAGAGAGAGGAAGGAUCGGAGGGAGUCAAUUGUAAAGAUUUAUUUCCUUUUAACCAGACAUGUCGAUUACAUUAGAAUUUCAGAGGCCUACAGUUUUAGCAUUACAGGGCUUAAAUGGUCAUACAUGGAAGUAGUUAAAGCAAUUUAAUGUUAAGACUUUGAAUUGACCAGUGAGAACAAUCAGGCAGCUGGCAUUGGUUUAAAUCUCUUUUUUCGAAGAUGUUUUGGUUACAAAUAAAUAAAUCUGUGGAACGUCAAAAAAUGUAAAAAAAUAAUUUGUGGUAUUUUGUACAGUUUCAUUAUGCAAUCUUGAAUACAUUUAUGAUUACUAUUUAUAAAGAAGUAUUAUCAUUAGAAUGAGGAUGGAAAAUGUUUUUAACAUUUAUUUGAGACAGAGUUUUGCAUUAUUUUAUUAAAAUAAUUAAAUUCUUUUUCUAUGAAUGAAGGACAAACAGGGAAAACAGACAAAGCUGUUAUUCUAUGAUUUUCAAAUUGUAUUUAUUUACAUUUGAUUGAUUAGUUGAAGAUUAACUACAAGUAUUCAGCAUAGUACAAAAUUUAGGAUGCACUGCAAGUGUAUCUUUAUAGUUAUCAUCACACUAUGUCCAAUCUAGAUGUACAACACUCUUUUUUAUAGUGUUCUGUAAAUUAUCAGGAACACCAGUUGUGAUGAAUGGAAAGACUGGCAGGCUGAGAUUAUACAAGGGGAGGGAAUACCCCUGCUUAUCUUUUCAUACUGGUAUAGUUCCUUUGGUAAAGGUUUUGUACAAAUGUUGUUUAUAUCAGAUGUAUACGUUUUGAAGAGAGUUGUUAUUUAGAGCUCUGUAAAAAAAAAA